rnacentral:rRNA from 1 species
UACGUAGGGGGCAAGCGUUGUCCGGAUUUAUUGGGCGUAAAGAGCGUGUAGGCGGCUUUACAAGUCCGUUGUGAAAACUCGAGGCUCAACCUCGAGACGCCGGUGGAAACUGCAAAGCUAGAGUCCGGAAGAGGAGAGUGGAAUUCCUGGUGUAGCGGUGAAAUGCGCAGAUAUCAGGAAGAACACCCGUGGCGAAGGCGGCUCUCUGGGACGGUACUGACGCUGAGACGCGAAAGCGUGGGGAGCGAACAGG